AUUGCAUUUAUUUUGCAAUAAAAGUAUUUAAUUGGUUUUAUUUAUAAUUCCAAUUUUUAAAGAAAGAUGAGUAAGAAUAUUGUUGGUGUUCUUAACUCAAGAGAAAUGUUUUCAAUUAUUUAUUCAUUAAAUUUUGAAAACCCGGCUAAGUGAAUCAUAGAAUAUUAAGCACUUCACCGUGACUUAAGAUUAGAUUCAAGGAGACCUAUUAAGAAUAGAUUUCUUGUAGGCUUUGAACGUCAAGAGGAUUAGCACUGCUAUUCCGAUUCAGAGAUAACGUUAAACGACAGGCAUUGCCUAUACAGGUUAACGGCAGGUGAUGACGGGGCGGAGCUGAGGCUAGAGUUCAACUCCUUAUUUUGACUUCCGCUGUAGAACUAGCCAGUAUCUGUCUUUUGUUCCUUAACUUAAGACCUAUUAUGUUGUGAUUCUAAACAAUAUCUUUUGUUGAGCCUAAACUAUUGACUCUCAAGUAUUUCGAUCAGUGAAUGUUGGUUAUCUGAAGCAUGACACUAAACUUGUGAUCCUGAAGUUAUUAUGUUUGUUGAUUGAUUUGUAUCA